CGUAUAUUAAAGUUGUUGCAGUUAAAAAGCUCGUAAUUGGAUUUGUGGCGUAUGGUGUGUUCCGGGCACUUGUUGUCUGAGUAACCUGCUGUUGCCAUCCUUGGGUGGAACCUGUGUGGCAUUAGGUUGUCGUGCAGGGGAUGCCCAUCAUUUACUGUGAAAAAAUUAGAGUGUUCAAAGCAGGCUUAUGCCGUUGAAUAUAUUAGCAUGGAAUAAUGAGAUAGGACUUUUUUACUAUUUUGUUGGUUUGCGUAAAGAGGUAAUGAUUAAUAGGGACAGUUGGGGG
rnacentral:rRNA from 1 species